AGUUAAUUAGCUUACUAAGCAUUUAUUUUGAAAAUAAAAGAAAGAGAAUUUCUCUAUUAACUU
rnacentral:tRNA from 1 species